UUUCGGUUCGCGCAGGCGCAUUUUCCAGCGGCGGUGGCCGGGCGGCUCUUUGUGGCGGCCGCUGUUCUUUUGUAGACGGUGUAUUGCUUUUUCGUCUGUUUGCCCGAUCGUUUUUUUGGGCUCUCCAUCCGCCCGGGACCUGUGCCUGGUCCCUGCGUGUGUGUCGCCGGGACGCCGCAGAAGUGUGUGACGGGGUGACGCGGCGCGUGUGUGAAAAGGACGCGGCGCCCGAUGUGGGCCGCUGUCCCCGAGCCCUUGAAGCAGACCUCGCACCUAGGGACUGA
rnacentral:lncRNA from 1 species